UACGGGGGGGGCAAGCGUUGUUCGGAAUUACUGGGCGUAAAGGGCUCGUAGGUGGCCAACUAAGUCAGACGUGAAAUCCCUCGGCUUAACCGGGGAACUGCGUCUGAUACUGGAUGGCUUGAGGUUGGGAGAGGGAUGCGGAAUUCCAGGUGUAGCGGUGAAAUGCGUAGAUAUCUGGAGGAACACCGGUGGCGAAGGCGGUUGCCUGGGGCUUUGCUGACGCUGAGGCGCGAAAGCGUGGGGAGCGAUCCGG
rnacentral:rRNA from 1 species